AGUGAACGCUGGCGGUAGGCCUAACACAUGCAAGUCGAACGGCAGCACAGUAAGAGCUUGCUCUUACGGGUGGCGAGUGGCGGACGGGUGAGGAAUACAUCGGAAUCUACUUUUUCGUGGCGGAUAACGUAGGGAAACUUACGCUAAUACCGCAUACGACCUACGGGUGAAAGCAGGGGAUCUUCGGACCUUGCGCGAUUGAAUGAGCCGAUGUCGGAUUAGCUAGUUGGCGGGGUAAAGGCCCACCAAGGCGACGACCCGUAGCUGGUCUGAGAGGAUGAUCAGCCACACUGGAACUGAGACACGGUCCAGACUCCUACGGGAGGCAGCAGUGGGGAAUAUUGGACAAUGGGCGCAAGCCUGAUCCAGCCAUACCGCGUGGGUGAAGAAGGCCUUCGGGUUGUAAAGCCCUUUUGUUGGGAAAGAAAAGCAGCAGGUUAAUACCCCGCUGUUCUGACGGUACCCAAAGAAUAAGCACCGGCUAACUUCGUG
rnacentral:rRNA from 1 species